UGCAUGACGCGCAGCCUGAUGCAGCGACGCCGCGUGAGGGAUGAAGGCCUUCGGGUUGUAAACCUCUUUCAGUAGGGAAGAAGCCGGCCUUUCGGGGUUGGUGACGGUACCUGCAGAAGAAGCGCCGGCUAACUACGUGCCAGCAGCCGCGGUAAUACGUAGGGCGCAAGCGUUAUCCGGAAUUAUUGGGCGUAAAGAGCUCGUAGGCGGUUUGUCGCGUCUGCCGUGAAAGUCCGGGGCUUAACCCCGGAUCUGCGGUGGGUACGGGCAGACUAGAGUGCAGUAGGGGAGACUGGAAUUCCUGGUGUAGCGGUGAAAUGCGCAAAUAUCAGGAGGAACACCGAUGGCGAAGGCAGGUCUCUGGGCUGUAACUGACGCUGAGGAGCGAAAGCAUGGGGAGCGAACAGGAUUAGAUACCCUGGUAGUCCAUGCCGUAAACGUUGGGCACUAGGUGUGGGGGACAUUCCACGUUUUCCGCGCCGUAGCUAACGCAUUAAGUGCCCCGCCUGGGGAGUACGGCCGCAAGGCUAAAACUCAAAUGAAUUGACGG
rnacentral:rRNA from 1 species